rnacentral:rRNA from 1 species
AUCUUGGGAAAUUUCAUCGUGAUGGGGAUAGAUCAUUGCAAUUGUUGGUCUUCAACGAGGAAUGCCUAGUAAGCGCGAGUCAUCAGCUCGCGUUGACUACGUCCCUGCCCUUUGUACACACCGCCCGUCGCUCCUACCGAUUGAAUGGUCCGGUGAAGUGUUCGGAUCGCGGCGACGGGGGNGGUUCGCCGCCCCCGACGUCGCGAGAAGUCCAUUGAACCUUAUCAUUUAGAGGAAGGAGAAGUCGUAACAAGGUUUCCGUAGGUGAACCUGCGGAAGGAUCAUUG